UACAGAGGGUGCGAGCGUUAAUCGGAAUUACUGGGCGUAAAGCGCACGUAGGCGGCUUGGUAUGUCGGGUGUGAAAUCCCCGGGCUCAACCUGGGAACUGCAUCCGAAACUGCCUUGCUGGAGUAUGGGAGAGGGAAGUGGAAUUUCCGGUGUAGCGGUGAAAUGCGUAGAUAUCGGAAGGAACAUCAGUGGCGAAGGCGACUUCCUGGACCAAUACUGACGCUCAGGUGCGAAAGCGUGGGGUGCAAACAGG
rnacentral:rRNA from 1 species